rnacentral:rRNA from 1 species
AGUAGGGGNCAANCNUNUCCGGAUUAUUGGGCGUAAAGGGCUNGUAGGCGUUUGACAAGUCGGGUGUGAANCNUCCAGGCUCAACCUGGAGUCGCCGCUCGAAACUGUUUGUGACUAGAGUCCGGUAGAGGAGCAUGGAAUUUGUGGUGUAGCGGUGGAAUGCGCAGAUAUCACAAGGAACACCAGUAGCGAAGGCGAUGCUCUGGGCCGGUACUGACGCUGAGGAGCGAAAGCAUGGGGAGCGAACAGGAUUAGAUACCCUGGUAGUCCAUGCCGUAAACGUUGGGCACUAGGUGUGGGACUCUCUCAACGGGUUCCGUGCCGUAGCUAACGCAUUAAGUGCCCCGCCUGGGGAGUACGGCCGCAAGGCUAAAACUCAAAGGAAUUGACGGGGGCCCGCACAAGCAGCGGAGCAUGUUGCUUAAUUCGAGGCAACGCGAAGAACCUUACCUGGGCUUGACAUGUAGAGAAAAGCCGUAGAGAUACGGUGUCCUUCGGGGCUCUAUGCAGGUGGUGCAUGGCUGUCGUCAGCUCGUGUCGUGAGAUGUUGGGUUAAGUCCCGCAACGAGCGCAACCCUUGUCCUAUGUUGCCAGCGGGUAAUGCCGGGGACUCGUAGGAGACUGCCGGGGUCAACUCGGAGGAAGGUGGGGACGACGUCAAGUCAUCAUGCCCCUUACGUCCAGGGCUGCAAACAUGCUACAAUGGCUGGUACAACGGGCUGCUAUCCCGCGAGGGUGAGCGAAUCCCAUAAAGCCAGUCUCAGUUCGGAUUGGAGUCUGCAACUCGACUCCAUGAAGCUGGAGUCGCUAGUAAUCCCGGAUCAGCAUUGCCGGGGUGAAUACGUUCCCGGGCCUUGUACACACCGCCCGUCACACCACGAAAGUUGGUAACGCCCGAAGCCGGUGGCCUAACCCUUUUGGGAGGGAGCCGUCGAAGGUGGGAUCAGCGAUUGGGGUGAAGUCGUAACAAGGUAACC